rnacentral:sRNA from 1 species
CAGAUGUACCUCUUUUCUGCCUUCCUAUGGGAGCUACUAUUGAGUGCUGGGAUCCUGAAACCAAAUAUCCACUUCCAGUUUUUUCAACUUUUGUCUUGACAGGUUCUUCAGCCAAAAAGGUAUAUGGAGCUGCCAUUCAGUUUUAUGAACCUUACUCUCGGGAACUUCUAUCAGAGAAACAGCUUAUGCACCUGGGCUUGUUGACGCCUGUGGAGAGAAAAAUGGUCUCCAAAUCCAUCAAUACAAACAAAUGCAUUUGUUUACUCUCACACUGGCCUUUUUUUGAAGCUUUUAGGAAAUUUCUUAUGUUUAUCUACAAACUUUCUGUGUCUGGACCACAUCCUCUUCCCAUUGAAAAGCACAUUUCACAUUUUAUGCAAAACAUCCCUUUUCCUUCACCACAAAGACCGAGAAUCCUUGUCCAGCUGUCAGUCCAUGAUGCAUUAAUAUUAUCACAGCCAGUUUCUACACCUUUACCACUAAGUGGAGCCAACUUUAGCACCUUGCUAAUGAAUCUGGGUCCUGAGAAUUGUGCAACACUGCUGCUCUUUGUUUUACUUGAGAGUAAAAUUCUGCUGCAUUCUCUUAGGCCAGCUGUCUUGACUGGGGUAGCUGAAGCUGUUGUAGCUAUGAUCUUUCCAUUUCAGUGGCAAUGCCCAUAUAUUCCCCUUUGUCCUCUUUCACUGGCUGCAGUGCUUAGUGCACCUUUACCAUUUAUAGUUGGAGUUGACUCAAGGUAUUUUGAUCUUCAUGACCCACCACAAGAUGUUGUUUGCAUUGACUUGGAUACGAACAUGUUAUAUGUAUCAGAUGAAAAGAAGAACAUGAACUGGAAGCAACUUCCCAAAAAGCCGUGCAAAAAUCUACUUAGCACCUUAAAGAAAUUGUAUCCCCAGCUGUCUUCAGUUCACCGAAAAACUCAAGAAGGCUCAGCGAUUGACAUGACUCCAAUUGAAGCAGAUUUCUCCUGGCAAAAGAAGAUGACACAGCUUGAGAUGGAAAUUCAAGAGGCAUUUUUGCGCUUUAUGGCGUCUAUUUUAAAAGGAUAUAGAACAUAUCUCAGACCAAUCACAGAGGCUCCUUCAAAUAAAGCCACAGCUGCUGAUUCAUUGUUUGACCGACAGGGAUUUUUAAAAAGUCGAGAUCGUGCCUAUGCAAAAUUCUAUACCCUUUUAUCCAAAACACAGAUUUUUAUUCGUUUCAUUGAAGAAUGCAGUUUUGUAAGUGAUAAAGAUACUGGAUUAGCAUUUUUUGAUGACUGCAUAGAAAAGUUGUUUCCUGAUAAAGGCACAGAGAAAACAGAUAAGGUUGAUUUUGAUUCAGCAGAAGAUACCAGAUUGAUAGAACUAGAUGAUUCACAGAAAAGUGAGCAUACUGUAUUUAUAAUGCCGCCAGAGCCACCUCCUGAUGAUGGAAAGGACCUGUCACCAAAGUACAGUUACAAAUACUUUCCAAGACUGGACCUUAAGCUUUUUGACAGACCGCAGGAGUUGAAACUUUGUUUUAGUAGACACCCUACUGGGAAUAGCAUUACAAAGAGUCCAGCUCUCAUGGCUAAGAGAACUAAACAGGAAAUAAAAACAGCUCAUAAAUUGGCGAAGAGAUGUUAUACAAAUCCACCACAGUGGGCCAAGUGUCUGUUUAGUCAUUGUUACAGUUUAUGGUUUAUUUGUCUUCCGGCCUAUGUUAGAGUUUCUCAUCCUAAAGUCAGAGCACUUCAGCAGGCAUAUGAUGUACUUAUUAAGAUGAGGAAAACAGAUGUGGAUCCCUUAGAUGAGGCAAGUGUGCUAUCGAGUAGUGAUGCAGCUUUGUGGACUUUGGGGUCAUCCUGUUUUAGCAGUGAGAGUCUUAUUUGAAAUGAAAACUGCUAGGAUAAAGCCUAAUGCUAUUACUUAUGGUUAUUAUAAUAAGGUAGUCUUGGAGAGCCCGUGGCCUAGCAGUACCCGCAGUGGUAUCUUCUUAUGGACGAAGGUACGGAAUGUGGUACGUGGCUUGGCACAGUUUAGGCAGCCACUUAAAAAGACUGUGCAAAGGUCACAGGUCUCCUCAAUAUCAGGUAAUACAUAUGAUUAGAAAUAUACUUCCUUACUGAACCAUGAGCUUUAUAGGCAUAUGAAUUUUUAGCUAUGUGAAGUAGAAAACUUAAAUUCUGGUAGACAUUUUCACAUACAUUUAAAGACAGAUUAUCUUAGUCCAAAAUUAUUUUUGUUUUUUUCCAGAAAUUUAGAAAGUGUUCUGCAACUAUAAAUGAACUGUGGGUCAAUCAUGUUUAGUUUAAGAGAUUAUCAAUGCAUGAGUUAUUGAACUGCUAUUGUCCUUAUCUUUAGCUCUUCAAAAUGUCACAGGUGGAAGUGAUGGGGACACGGUGAGCCACGGUAGUGUGGAUAGUUCUAAUGAUGCUAACAAUGGGGAGCACACAGUCUUCGUCAGAGAUUUAAUCAGGCUUGAGUCCAUUGAUAAUCACUCUAGCACAGACAGACUUAUAUGACGUGAAGCUAUGGAUACACGUGUGCAUUAAUUCUACCCUUGAAUGUUAACCACAUCAGGUGGUCAGUCUGACCAAGGAUAUGGGUCUAAGGAUGAACUUAUAAAGGAUGAUGCAGAAAUUCAUGUGCCUGAAGAACAGGCAGCAAGAGAAUUGAUAACUAAAACAAAAAUGCAAACAGAAGAGGUGUGUGAUGCCUCUGCUAUUGCGGCAAAACAUUCACAACCUAGUCCAGAGCCUCACAGUCCUACUGAACCUCCUGCAUGGGGCAGCAGUAUUGUGAAAGUUCCGUCUGGUAUAUUUGAUGUCAACAGCAGGAAAAGUAGCACUGGUAGUAUAUCAAAUGUGCUGUUUUCUACUCAAGAUCCAGUUGAAGAUGCAGUCUUUGGCGAAGCUACUAAUCUCAAGAAGAAUGGUGAUAGAGGAGAAAAAAGACAAAAGCAUUUUCCUGAGAGGAGUUGUAGUUUUAGUUCUGAAAGUCGAGCAGGAAUGUUGCUUAAGAAGAGUAGUUUGGAUUCGAAUUCAAGUGAAAUGGCUAUCAUGAUGGGAGCAGAUGCCAAGAUUCUAACAGCAGCAUUGACAUGUCCUAAGACUUCUCUACUUCAUAUUGCAAGAACCCAUAGCUUUGAGAAUGUUAGCUGUCACCUACCUGAUAGUAGGACUUGUAUGUCUGAAAGCACUUGGAAUCCUGAGCACAGAUCAUCUCCGGUGCCAGAGAUGCUUGAGGAAAGCCAAGAACUCCUUGAGCCUGUGGUUGAUGAUGUACCUAAAACUACUGCAACAGUAGAUACAUAUGAGAGUCUACUAAGUGAUAGUAACAGUAAUCAGUCCAGAGACUUGAAAACAGUAUCCAAAGAUCUGAGGAAUAAGAGAAGUAGUUUAUAUGGUAUUGCUAAGGUGGUUGAGAGGGAAGAUGUUGAAACUGGACUAGAUCCUUUGUCUCUUUUAGCCACUGAAUGUACAGGAGGAAAAACUCCUGAUUCUGAAGAUAAGUUGUUUUCUCCAGUUAUUGCACGUAAUCUGGCUGAUGAAAUAGAAAGCUAUAUGAACCUAAAAAGUCCCCUAGGUAGUAAAUCUUCUAGUAUGGAAUUACACAGAGAGGAAAACAGAGAGUCUGGCAUGACUACUGCAUUUAUUCAUGCUCUAGAGAGGAGAUCAAGCCUACCUUUAGAUCAUGGUUCACCAGCACAGGAAAAUCCUGAAAGUGAAAAGAGCUCACCUGCAGUGUCCAGGUCUAAAACUUUUACUGGGCGUUUCAAGCAGCAAACCCCCUCUCGAACUCAUAAAGAACGUUCAACUUCUUUGUCAGCACUGGUGCGUUCUUCGCCACAUGGCUCGUUGGGUUCUGUAGUAAAUUCUUUGUCAGGGCUAAAGCUGGAUAAUAUACUCUCAGGGCCCAAGAUAGAUGUCCUGAAAUCUGGUAUGAAACAAGCAGCGACAGUGGCCAGUAAGAUGUGGGUAGCUGUUGCGUCUGCCUACAGCUACUCAGAUGAUGAGGAAGAAACUAAUAGAGACUACAGCUUCCCAGCUGGCCUAGAAGACCAUAUUUUGGGGGAGAAUAUAUCGCCUAACACAAGUAUCUCAGGGUUGGUCCCCAGUGAACUUACCCAGAGCAACACAAGUCUUGGCAGUAGCAGCAGUAGUGGAGAUGUAGGAAAACUGCAUUAUCCAACAGGUGAAGUUCCAUUUCCAAGAGGCAUGAAAGGGCAAGACUUUGAAAAAUCAGAUCAUGGUUCUUCUCAAAAUACCAGCAUGUCUAGCAUCUAUCAGAAUUGUGCAAUGGAGGUUUUGAUGUCCAGUUGUUCACAGUGUAGAGCUUGUGGAGCUUUAGUUUAUGAUGAAGAAAUUAUGGCUGGAUGGACAGCAGAUGACUCAAAUUUGAAUACAGCUUGUCCAUUCUGUAAAAGCAACUUCUUGCCUCUUCUCAAUAUAGAAUUCAAAGAUUUGAGAGGUUCUGCAAGCUUUUUCCUGAAACCAAGUACCUCUGGUGACAGUUUACAAAGUGGAAGCAUUCCAUUGGCAAAUGAAUCCUUGGAGCACAAACCUGUAUCCAGUUUAGCAGAACCUGACUUGAUCAACUUUAUGGACUUCCCAAAACAUAACCAGAUCAUAACUGAAGAAACAGGCUCUGCAGUUGAACCAAGUGAUGAAAUAAAGAGAGCCAGUGGAGAUGUCCAAACUAUGAAAAUUUCAUCUGUGCCUAAUAGUUUAUCAAAGCGAAAUGUGUCUUUGACUCGAAGUCACAGUGUUGGAGGCCCAUUGCAGAAUAUUGACUUUACCCAGCGACCGUUUCAUGGCAUCUCAACAGUUAGUCUUCCAAAUAGUCUGCAGGAAGUUGUGGAUCCUUUAGGAAAAAGACCCAAUCCUCCCCCUGUUUCUGUGCCCUACUUGAGUCCUCUAGUACUCCGUAAAGAACUUGAAUCUUUGCUAGAAAAUGAAGGUGAUCAGGUGAUUCAUACAUCUUCCUUCAUCAAUCAACAUCCAAUCAUUUUCUGGAACCUCGUUUGGUAUUUCAGACGUUUGGACCUUCCUAGUAACUUGCCAGGACUUAUCCUCACAUCUGAACAUUGUAAUGAAGGUGUACAGCUUCCUCUGUCAUCUCUGUCCCAGGAUAGCAAACUUGUGUAUAUUCAGCUGUUAUGGGAUAAUAUCAACCUUCAUCAGGAACCAAGAGAACCUCUGUAUGUCUCAUGGAGGAAUUUUAAUUCUGAAAAGAAAUCAUCUCUCCUGUCAGAGGAACAACAAGAAACAAGCACUUUAGUAGAAACCAUCAGGCAGAGUAUUCAACACAAUAAUGUUCUUAAACCCAUCAACCUACUUUCACAGCAAAUGAAGCCAGGCAUGAAAAGACAAAGGAGUUUAUACAGAGAAAUCCUCUUCUUAUCAUUAGUGUCUCUAGGAAGAGAGAACAUUGAUAUUGAGGCAUUUGACAAUGAAUAUGGAAUUGCAUACAAUAGUCUGUCUUCAGAGAUUCUUGAAAGGUUGCAGAAAAUUGAUGCUCCACCAAGUGCCAGUGUCGAGUGGUGCAGGAAGUGUUUUGGAGCGCCUCUCAUUUAAAUAGAGAUUCACUAGAAUUUUGACACACAAGGCUUGGGGAUUAGAUUUCAUCUGGAAACAUUCAAGAUUUUUUUUCCAAAUCGUAAGAACUGGUGAAUACGGAAUUGAAGUAACUCUUGGGGACAAUAUAUAAUGAAUUAUGAUUCAUAUUGCAUUACCUUGAAAUAUGAAGUGCCAUUUGAAUGUCCCAGGGCUUAUUAAUAUUGAAGAUUUUCAACCCCUGAACUGCUUUUCUGCCUCUGUGGAAAACUACUUUGGGAUUCUUCAGUAUUUGUAGUAGUUUGUUUGAUAGAAAUAAUGAGGAACCAUAUUCAUUCUAGGCAUUGUUUAUAUUUGAAGUUACUGAGUUUGAGGAAUGGCAAAUUAAAUUUGCCUAACCCCCAAAACAAAUGAAAUAUCUCAAUUAUAAAAGCAACAUGGCCGGG